GCUAGAGUGCAGGAGAGGAAGGUAGAAUUCCCGGUGUAGCGGUGAAAUGCGUAGAGAUCGGGAGGAAUACCAGUGGCGAAGGCGGCCUUCUGGACUGACACUGACGCUGAGGUGCGAAAGCGUGGGUAGCAAACAGGAUUAGAUACCCUGGUAGUCCACGCCGUAAACGAUGUCGACUAGCCGUUGGGGUCCUUGAGACCUUUGUGGCGCAGUUAACGCGAUAAGUCGACCGCCUGGGGAGUACGGCCGCAAGGUUAAAACUCAAAUGAAUUGACGGGGGCCCGCACAAGCGGUGGAGCAUGUGGUUUAAUUCGAUGCAACGCGAAGAACCUUACCUACCCUUGACAUCGAGAGAACUUGGCAGAGAUGCCUUGGUGCCUUCGGGAACUCUCAGACAGGUGCUGCAUGGCCGUCGUCAGCUCGUGUUGUGAAAUGUUGGGUUAAGUCCCGUAACGAGCGCAACCCUUGUCCCUAUUUGCCAGCGAUUCGGUCGGGAACUCUAGGGAGACUGCCGGUGACAAACCGGAGGAAGGUGGGGACGACGUCAGGUCAUCAUGGCCCUUACGGGUAGGGCUACACACGUGCUACAAUGGCCGGUACAAAGGGUUGCGAAGCCGCGAGGUGGAGCCAAUCCCGAAAAGCCGGUCUCAGUCCGGAUCGGAGUCUGCAACUCGACUCCGUGAAGUCGGAAUCGCUAGUAAUCGUGAAUCAGAAUGUCACGGUGAAUACGUUCCCGGGCCUUGUACACACCGCCCGUCACACCAUGGGAGUGGAUCUGACACUCAGAACGUGUGUGUAGCCUGAUAUAGUCGUAGCGCAGUCACCUAGAGUCGUGACAACUGCCA
rnacentral:rRNA from 1 species